GACGAACGCUGGCGGCGUGCUUAACACAUGCAAGUCGAACGGAAAGGCCCUGCUUUUGUGGGGUGCUCGAGUGGCGAACGGGUGAGUAACACGUGAGUAACCUGCCCUUGACUUUGGGAUAACUUCAGGAAACUGGGGCUAAUACCGGAUAGGAGCUCCUGCUGCAUGGUGGGGGUUGGAAAGCUUCGGCGGUUGGGGAUGGACUCGCGGCUUAUCAGCUUGUUGGUGGGGUAGUGGCUUACCAAGGCUUUGACGGGUAGCCGGCCUGAGAGGGUGACCGGCCACAUUGGGACUGAGAUACGGCCCAGACUCCUACGGGAGGCAACAGUGGGGAGUAUUGCACAAUGGUCGGAAGCCUGAUACAGCAACGCCGCGUGCGGGAUAACGGCCUUCGGGUUGUAAACCGCUUUCGCCUGUGACGAAGCGUGAGUGACGGUAAUGGGUAAAGAAGCACCGGCUAACUACGUG
rnacentral:rRNA from 1 species